rnacentral:rRNA from 81 species
GUGACCUGCGGAAGGAUCAUUA